AACGAACGCUGGCGGCAUGCCUGACACAUGCAAGUCGAACGGGAUCCUAGCUUGCUAGGUGAGAGUGGCGGACGGGUGAGUAACACGUGGGAAUCUGCCUUUUGGUUCGGGAUAACCGCGGGAAACUGCGGCUAAUACCGAAUGCCCUCGAGAGAGGAAAGAUUUAUCGCCAGAAGAGGAGCCCGCGUCCGAUUAGGUAGUUGGUGGGGUAAAGGCCUACCAAGCCGACGAUCGGUAGCUGGUCUGAGAGGAUGAUCAGCCACACUGGGACUGAGAUACGGCCCAGACUCCUACGGGAGGCAGCAGUGGGGAAUAUUGGACAAUGGGGGGCAACCCUGAUCCAGGCAAUGCCGCGUGAGUGAAGAAGGCC
rnacentral:rRNA from 1 species